GGCCGCGGGAAUUAGAUUCAGGCCUAACACAUGCAAGUCGUACGAGAGUUUUUAACUCAAGUGGCGGACGGGUGAGUAACACGUAAGAAUUUGCCUUUAGGAGGGGGAUAACAACUGGAAACGGUUGUUAAUACCCCAUAUGCUUUUGAGUGAAAUGGAUUUCCGCCUAAAGAGAAGCUUGCGGCUGAUUAGCUUGUUGGUGAGGUAAUGGCUCACCAAGGCGACGAUCAGUAUCUGGUUUGAGAGGAUGAUCAGACACACUGGAACUGAGACACGGUCCAGACUCCUACGGGAGGCAGCAGUGGGGAAUUUUCCGCAAAAGGCGAAAGCCUGACGGAGCAAUACCGCGUGAGGUAUUAAGGCCUAUGGGUUGUAAACCUCUUUUUUCAGGGAGGAAUCAAUGACG
rnacentral:rRNA from 1 species